GCUGGCAGACAAUGCGACCCGACCGCGCUGAGGCUCCAGGACAGCCCGCCAUGGCUGCAGGAGGUCCCGGCGCGGGGUCUGCGGCCCCGGUCUCCUCCACAUCCUCCCUUCCCCUGGCUGCUCUCAACAUGCGAGUGCGGCGCCGCCUGUCUCUGUUCUUGAACGUGCGGACACAGGUGGCGGCCGACUGGACCGCGCUGGCGGAGGAGAUGGACUUUGAGUACUUGGAGAUCCGGCAACUGGAGACACACGCCGACCCCACUGGCAGGCUGCUGGACGCCUGGCAGGGACGCCCUGGCGCCUCGGUAGGCCGAUUGCUUGAGCUGCUUACCAAGCUGGGCCGCGACGACGUGCUGCUGGAGCUGGGACCCAGCAUUGGGCAUAUGCCUGAGCGUUUUGAUGCCUUCAUCUGCUAUUGCCCCAGCGACAUCCAGUUUGUGCAGGAGAUGAUCCGGCAACUGGAACAGACAAACUAUCGACUGAAGUUGUGUGUGUCUGACCGCGAUGUCCUGCCUGGCACCUGUGUCUGGUCCAUUGCUAGUGAGCUCAUCGAAAAGAGGUUGGCUAGAAGGCCACGGGGUGGGUGCGUGGAUGCAUGAAGCCCUGCCCUGGGGUCCAGAUACUGAGCAUCUCCUCCUAGCUGUGCACUGUCCAGCCUGGGCACAGUGGCCCUUCCUGAAGCUAUUCCCAGGGAAUAUGCUGAACUAAGUUGCCACAGGACCUGCAGCCUGCCCACUCUCCCCUAGGUGCCGCCGGAUGGUGGUGGUUGUCUCUGAUGAUUACCUGCAGAGCAAGGAAUGUGACUUCCAGACCAAAUUUGCACUCAGCCUCUCUCCAGGUGCCCAUCAGAAGCGACUGAUCCCCAUCAAGUACAAGGCAAUGAAGAAAGAGUUCCCCAGCAUCCUGAGGUUCAUCACUGUCUGCGACUACACCAACCCCUGCACCAAAUCUUGGUUCUGGACUCGCCUCGCCAAGGCCUUGUCCCUGCCCUGAAGACUGUUCUGAGGCCCUGGGUGUGUGUGUAUCUGUCUGCCUGUCCAUGUACUUCUGCCCUGCCUCCUCCUUUGGUUGUAGGAGGAAUCUGUGCUCUACUUACCUCUCAAUUCCUGGAGAUGCCAACUUCACAGACACGUCUGCAGCAGCUGGACAUCACAUUUCAUGUCCUGCAUGGAACUAGUGGCUGUGAGUGGCAUGUCCACUUGCUGGAUUAUCAGCCAGGACAGUAUAGAACAGGACCAGCUGGGACUAGGAGAAGGACCAGCAGAGCCAGCUCUGCUCUGAGCCAUUCAUACAUCUUCAGCCUCAGUUUCCUCACUUGAGGAGUAGGAUGGGGAGAACAGAGAGUAGCUGUGUUUGAAUUCCUGUAGGAAAUGGUGAAGCAUAGCUCUGGGUCUCCUGGGGAGACCAGUCUUGGCUGCGGGAGAGCUGGCUGUUGCUGGACUACAUGCUGGCCACUGCUGUGACCACGACACUGCUGGGGCAGCUUCUUCCACAGUGAUGCCUACUGAUGCUUCAGUGCCUCUCUGCACACCUCCCAUUCCACUUCCUCCUUCCCCACAGGGCAGGUGGGGAAGCAGUUUGGCCCAGCCCAAGGAGAUCCCACCUUGAGCCUUAUUUCCUAAUGGGUCCACCUCUCAUCUGCAUCUUUCACACCUCCCAGCUUCUGCCCAACCUUCAGCAGUGACAAGUCCCCAAGAGACUCGCCUGAGCAGCUUGGGCUGCUUUUCAUUUCCGCCUGUCAGGAUGCCUGUGGUCAUGCUCUCAGCUCUACCUGGCAUGAGAAGGGAUCCUGGCCUCUGGCAUAUUCAUCAAGUAUGAGUUCUGGGGAUGAGUCACUGUAAUGAUGUGAGCAGCGAGCCUUCCUCCCUGGGACACCCGCAGAGAGCUUUCCCACCAACUUUGUACCUUGAUUGCCUUACAAAGUUAUUUGUUUACAAACAGCGACCAUAUAAAAGCCUCCUGCCCCAAAGCUUGUGGGCACAUGGGCAUAUACAAACUCACACACAGACACACACAUAUAUGUACAGAUGUGUACUCUCACACACACACAGGCACCUGCAUACACACGUUUUUCUAGGUAUAGCUCCCAGGAACAGCUAGGUGGGAAAGUCCCAUCACUGAGGGAGCCUAACCAUGUCCCUGAACAAAAAUUGGGCACUCUUCUAUUCCUUUUCUCUUGUGUCCCUACUCAUUGAAACCAAACUCUGGAAAGGACCCAAUGUACCAGUAUUUAUACCUCUAAUGAAGCACAGAGAGAGGAGGAGAGCUGCUUAAAUUCACACAACAAUGAACUACAGACACAGCUGUUCUCUCCCUCUCUCCUUACCAGAGCAAUUUUACCCUCAAGCUCUCCUUUGGGGAGAAGGUGCCAUGGUCUUAGGUGUCUGUGCCCCAGGGCAGACCCUAGGACCCUAAAUCCAAUAGAAAAUGCAUCUCUUUGCUCCACUUUCAGCCAUGCUGGAGCAAGGUGCCUUUUCUUAGGAUCUUGGGAGGGAAUGGAGGCCCCUCUCUGCAUGAUCUUGUUGAGGCGUUUAGCUGCCAUGCACCUGUCCCCCUUUAAUAUUGGGCAUUUUAAAGCAAUCUCGAGAAGCAUCUUCUACGUGUUUUGUAUGCAUUAAAAUAAUUUCAAAGAUAUCUGAGAAAAGCUGAUAUUUGCCAUUCUUCCUGUAUCUUGGAAUAUAUCUUGCAUCCUGAGUUUAUAAUAAUAAAGAAUAUUCUACCUUGGAAA
rnacentral:sRNA from 1 species